AAACACAUAUAUGGAAAGUCACACAUCAUCGUCAUGAUAAUUGUAAUAAUAGAGUUGAAGGUUGCUAAAACUUUUUCAUUUGAUGUUAUUGACUUCGUUAUUGAAGAGACUAGAGAUGGUUUUUGCUCAUUUACUCUUGAUUGACUAGUAACCUUCCACAAACUUUAAAUCAAUAUUCUAUCAUCUCUUAAAACCAGAAGAACAAGUAGAGUGAGGCAGGAGCAACGUAGCAAACUCACUUGAACUCCCCGGAAUGUCUUGCAAGUUUCAGGUAAUGGAGAUGGAUGUUAUCAAACUACAUAGUUUACAAUAAAUACCUACUAUUGUACUGUGUUGCCAUGCACCGAAA
rnacentral:misc_RNA from 1 species